rnacentral:rRNA from 1 species
AGCGAACGCUGGUGGCAGGCCUAACACAUGCAAGUCGAGCGCCCAGCAAUGGGAGCGGCAGACGGAAGAGUAACACGUGGGAACAUGCCCUUCAGUACGGAACAACCAAGGGAAACUUUGGCUAAUACCGUAUACGCCCGUAAGGGGAAAGAUUUAUCGCUGAAGGAUUGGCCCGCGUCUGAUUAGCUAGUUGGUGGGGUAAUGGCCCACCAAGGCGACGAUCAGUAGCUGGUCUGAGAGGAUGAUCAGCCUCACUGGGACUGAGACACGGCCCAGACUCCUACGGGAGGCAGCAGUGGGGAAUAUUGGACAAUGGGCGCAAGCCUGAUCCAGCCAUGCCGCGUGAGUGAUGAAGGCCUUAGGGUUGUAAAGCUCUUUCGUCAGGGAAGAUAAUGACGGUACCUGAAGAAGAAGCCCCGGCUAACUUCGUGCCAGCCGCCGCCGUAAUAC